AUUGAACGCUGGCGGCAGGCCUAACACAUGCAAGUCGAGCGAGCGGCGGACGGGUGAGUAAUGUAUGGGGACUGCCCGAUAGAGGGGGAUAACUACUGGAAACGGUGGCUAAUACCGCAUACUAUCGGAUAACCCAUAUGGGAUUAGCUAGUAGGUGGGGUAAAGGCUCACCUAGGCGACGAUCUCUAGCUGGUCUGAGAGGAUGACCUGCCCAACUGGGACUGAGACACGGCCCAGCUUCCGACGGAGGCACCAGUGGAGAGUAUCGCGCACUGGGGGCAGCCCUGAUGCAGCAAUGCCGCGUGAAUGAAAAAGGCCUUCGGGUUGUAAAGUUUUUUCGGUAGCGAGGCGUUAACGACAGAAGAAGCACCGGCUAACUCCGUGCCAGCAGCCGCGGUAAUAC
rnacentral:rRNA from 1 species